UACGAAGGGGGCUAGCGUUGCUCGGAAUCACUGGGCGUAAAGCGCACGUAGGCGGAUUGUUAAGUCAGGGGUGAAAUCCUGGAGCUCAACUUCGGAACUGCCUUUGAUACAGCACGUCUUGAGUCCGGAAGAGGUGGGUGGAAUUCCUAGUGUAGAGGUGAAAUUCGUAGAUAUUAGGAAGAACACCGGUGGCGAAGGCGGCCCACUGGUCCGGUACUGACGCUGAGGUGCGAAAGCGUGGGGAGCAAACAGG
rnacentral:rRNA from 1 species